rnacentral:misc_RNA from 1 species
AUAAAAUGUGCUUCGGUUCACUUUAUGAAGGAGUCAAUUCUUGGGCCUAAGAUCAUAGUUGCCAAGGAUUCAACCGUUAUCAUUACACGAAUACAAUUUUUAUACUGUGUUGGAAUUUUUAAAACAUGUUAAUAGGUCGGAAAAACGAGAAGACCGCAAUCAUGGACUACGAAAUGUUUCAACCCUGUUUUUAUGAAAACGAACCAGAGACCAUUUCACCUAGCUCUCUGCCAAAUGAGGAUAUGUGGAAAAAAUUCGAAUUGCUACCGACGCCGCCUUUGUCACCAAGACGGGAUGAUGACUACGACAUGAAUUCAUUGGAUUUGGAAGAUUUUAACCUGAUUUUUGACUGAGUUCUUUGAGAAAGAGAGUGCAAUUCCCAAAAUAAUGACGUUAUCAGAGACUCCACCGAAUUUGAAUUCCAACCUCAUUCAAGAUUGUAUGUGGUCCUGGUGAUUCUGGAAGGUAUCCUACUGGUGACAAGAAUGCUGCUUGCCCUGAUGUCAACUCUGCUGACUGUGUAGAUCCAGCAGCUGUCUUCCCCUACCCCAUCCACAGUCUAAACAGCAUUCACAGUGAAACCAAGCUCCAUAGCUUGGGGACAGAAACACCGUCAGACUCGGAAGAAGAAAUUGAUGUUGUCACUGUAGAGAAGAAGCAACUGCAGCAAGUCCCAGUUGCACCAACAAAGAAGACCGUAUUUACAGUGCAGAGUGUGAAAACCGAAAGAUUGGAUGGACAUGAUGAAAAAUUUGGUGCUGCUAAAACAACUGUCACUGUUAAAGUGAAAGUUGACUGCCCUACAGAUGAACAUCCAUACAGUUUACCAGUGUCAUCACUCAAACGUGUUCGGUCUCUCCCAAAUUCUCCCUCUAUGUCGCCUUUACCUUCAAAGAGGUGUAAAAGAGAACUUAGUGACAGAGAUAUGAAAAAAGUGUGUCAUAAACUCAGGGCAAGUGGAAGUAGCAGUGCUUCUUCAAGUCGGAAUUCCUCAGACUCUGAAGAUUACCCUGAGGGUAAAAGGACUCAACACAAUGUGUUAGAACGUAAAAGAAGAAAUGACCUCAAAUUCAGUUUUUUCAGUCUCAGGGAUAGUGUACCAGAACUUGUUAAGCAGGAACGUGCACCAAAAGUUCAAAUUCUCAAAAAGGCAUCAGAGUACAUCCGAAAACUUACUGCUGAUGAACGUAGACUUGAAAGUGAAAGAGAAAUGCUACAGGAAAAACAUGAACAGCUAAGACGGACUUUAGAAAAGCUUCAUGCUAGAGAGUUUUGAUGUGAGAAUAGCUAAUUUUGCUGUUGAAAUGUGCUGGAAUAUUAGGGCAAAUUUGUGUUCUCCUCGUAUAUAACCCAUAUUGUGUUCAGAUGACAUUUUUAUCGUGUUGGCAUUUCAUAAAGCACUGCCACAAACUUUGAUGCAAGUGUUUUGACUAUUUUGCUAAUUAUUCAUUCUUUUGUUUUCUAAUGUUAUACACAUCUAUAUAUACCUAUAUCUUUGUUAAUACUGCCUGUAGAAAGAGUUGUACACAGGAUUUCUUUUGUUAAUGAUAUAAAUUUCUGUUGCUAUUCAAGUGAUUCACAACUUUUUUGUCUUUGUAGUUCGUGUAGAUUGCAUUUAAAAGUACUCUUGUUUUAAACAUGCCAACCAUUGAAUAGUGCAUUGUUAAGAUUUGAAAAUUUUAUUGUAAGAUACAAUUUUUUGUGUUUCAAUGUCUGCAGAAAGCAGUAAUGUGGUUUCUUAGUAUAUGUUUGGUUGAUGCUUAUUAUAGUACCUUUUAUUUGUAUAAGUUUGUUACCCAAUAUUGUUUGAUAUUAAUUGUACAGUGAAUUAUGUUGCACCUCGAUUUAAUCCAAUGAAAAUUGAAACAUGACACUCAAAAAAGUAUUGGUUGUAUUUCUUGUCAUAUGUUUCAUAGAAAUACAUCCUUUUGCAUUUAUGGAAAUUGUUUUUGUUUUAUUGAGCAAUGAGGGAUAUGAAAUUAUGUGAUGUAAGGUGGUGUACGUGAAUUAUGUUUUAUAUUCAUCUAGACCUUUUCAACUUGUUCUGUAGAAUUCAUAUAUUUUGCAUAAGUUUUCAUAUGUACCUUGCAGUGAUACGAGUGUGGUAACCAUUUGAUUGGCUUUCAUCUUUAUAUUAUGCUACCUGCACUUAUCUACAAUCUUGCUUCACCUCAUUUGGUCUAAUAAAAAUUCAGAAUACCCUU